rnacentral:sRNA from 1 species
AAAAUGACGCGGUCGGGAUGAAGCCCGACCUUGGCGAGCGCCGG